rnacentral:rRNA from 1 species
UGGCGGACGGGUGAGUAACACGUGGGUAACCUGCCCUAAAGUGGGGGAUAACAUUUGGAAACAGAUGCUAAUACCGCAUAAAACCUAACACCGCAUGGUGUAGGGUUGAAAGAUGGUUUCGGCUAUCACUUUAGGAUGGACCCGCGGUGCAUUAGUUAGUUGGUGAGGUAAAGGCUCACCAAGACCGUGAUGCAUAGCCGACCUGAGAGGGUAAUCGGCCACACUGGGACUGAGACACGGCCCAGACUCCUACGGGAGGCAGCAGUAGGGAAUCUUCCACAAUGGACGAAAGUCUGAUGGAGCAACGCCGCGUGAGUGAAGAAGGUUUUCGGAUCGUAAAACUCUGUUGUUGGAGAAGAAUGUAUCUGAUAGUAACUGAUCAGGUAGUGACGGUAUCCAACCAGAAAGCCACGGCUAACUACGUGCCAGCAGCCGCGGUAAU